AACGCGAAGAACCUUACCUGGGCUCGAACGGCUUCUCAACGCCGGUGGAAACACCGGUAUCCCUUAAAAGAGUGGAGUCGAGGUGCUGCAUGGCUGUCGUCAGCUCGUGUCGUGAGAUGUUGGGUUAAGUCCCGCAACGAGCGCAACCCUUGUCCUGUGUUGCCAUCAUUCAGUUGGGAACUCGCAGGAGACCGCCAGGGAUAACCUGGAGGAAGGUGGGGAUGACGUCAAGUCCUCAUGGCCUUUAUGUCCAGGGCUACACACGUGCUACAAUGGACGGUACAAAGCGCAGCAAACCCGCGAGGGGGAGCCAAUCGCAAAAAACCGUUCUCAGUUCGGAUUGCAGGCUGCAACUCGCCUGCAUGAAGCUGGAAUCGCUAGUAAUGGCAGAUCAGCACGCUGCCGUGAAUACGUUCCCGGGCCUUGUA
rnacentral:rRNA from 1 species